rnacentral:lncRNA from 1 species
UGCUUUCUUGCUUGCCUUGGAGAAAUCAUAAUCUAUGACAUGAAAUUUAAACAAAAUCUAAUUUUCUACUUGGAGGCUUAUCCUGUGUUCUUAUUUUCUCCUUUAAAUGCUUUCACCUGUAGGAUAACUGCACUAGCAAGGUACAGUGGGGAUUGGUAGAGAUAAACUAGAAUUGACUUUUAUGUUUUAAAUCCUCACUAGGAUGUAUGGAGGCAUAAGUAGGAAUGGAACCUUCAAAAAUCUUUUCAUCAUUUGUUCUCUGGCUCUGGAAUUUAGAGUGGCUGUAAAUUUAGGGUGACCACAAAUCAUGAGGUUUCACACCAAAAUUAAUUUCUAGAACAUGAUAUGCUUUGGAGAAGGAAUUAAGAAUAAAGGAACAAGGCAUGAGCCACUGUGCCCGGCCUCCCCUUAAUAUCUUCUUAAAGUGUCACAACGCAGUAGUCAGCCAGCAUAUAUUUGAGUAGCUGUUACCUGUAAAGCAUUUGCAUUAAUUUUUACUUUUAGAGAAUAUAAUUUUUUUUCAUUUAAGCACUGCCUUUUCAUUGGUGCUUUUUGCUUUGUCCUGUGGUAAUAAGAAGGAUCAUGAAGAAAGCAGAAUAAGUAGACUUAAUAGAACAUUCAUCUUUCUAAAUUACCAAAUCAUAUCUCUUUCUUAGACCUUUUUACUUUUAGUCUUUGCUUUAAUAAUUGGAUUAUUUUUGGCAUAAUUUCCUUUCAAAGAGACCAAAUAAAUAUUAUUUUACAAGAGUUACUAGAUUUGCAACAACCCAACCAAUGACAUGGUGGUUGGCCAAGUAAAUUCACUAACUAGAUGACUUGCUCCUACACAUCCAACCUGGAAUGCACAAGAUUAGUAUUUUCCCCUGUGCAAAAAUAAAAAUUGAGGAUGGGGUAUUUGAUGAUGUUAGGG